GUUGCUGAGUGCUUCUAGUUUUACUUACUGUGUAAGGACUGAGGGAAAGGCUGGAACAAUUAAAGCUUUGAGGGAGAUGUUGAAGUCAACCAGGCACAUGUUGACCAGGAUGAAUCUGAAAGAAGCAGACACUUCCUUCAUAAAACACAACAGUUGCCUGCCGCAGAUGCAUCUGUCCGUGACCAUGUCAGUAGGAGUGGCCAUCUCCGUGUGCAGAUGAAGUCCUGACUUCACGUUGAGGAUAGCCUCCAUCAGGUUGUGUGGCACUACCACCGUGUUAACUGGAAUAGGUUUCAAACAGAUCUAGCAACUCGAGACUGGGCAACCAUGAGGCAGUGGGCCAUCAGUAACAGCAGAGUUGUGCUCAACCACAAUCUGUAACCUCAUGGCCCAGCGUAUUCAGCCACACUGCCAUUACCACCAAGCCAGGGAAUCAACCUGUUUAAUGAAGAGUGCAGGAAGGCAUGCCAGGAGCAGCCU